CCCGACCUCCGCCUGCUCGCCCCGCCCGCCGCAUCCCUUUCGCGAACCCCUGCUCUCCUCCCACCGCGCCUUCGUUCCCUGCCGCCCCCGCCGUAUGCAGUCUAUCUGCAGAUCUGUUGUGUUUGAGGAGGUAGGAGAGAGUGUGGUGCCUGCCCCUCUGGUUGCCAUUGGCACAGUGGCGGAGCAGAUGGUGCCGCAGCAUCACAGGGCGACGGAGGCCACAGCGGGCAGAAGGGAUAGCUCCCCUUCGACGGGGAAGAUGAAUCCCUUCUUCCUUAUCUUUUAUUGUAAUGGGCUUGGUGGGAUGCACCAUCAUUGUCGGCCUAUUUUUCAUCAGCCAUCAAGUAAAAAAUUGGCAUGCCCAUAGCUAUUCCAGCCAUCUGCCUGCCACCAGAGAAUUGGAAGAGGUUGAGGAAGAGCACUUUCGGUUGCCACCUCCUCACAAGGUGAAUCCUCGUGCAGUGAAACGUGCAGUCAAACGUCGGAGCUCUAGCAAGGUUGCAAAGAUCAUCGAUGAAUAUCUGGAUGGGUCCUUAGCAUUACAUGACAUGUUCUUUCCUGCUGAAACAACUGCUGUGAACCCAACAAAAGGCGGAAAUGAUAGCAUUUACUUUUAUCCCGGUAAGGUAUGGCUGGACACUGAUGGAAAUGCCAUUGAAGCCCAUGGUGGUGGGAUUCUGUAUGAUCAAAAUACCGCGACAUACUAUCGGUACGGAGAAAACAAAGAUGGACCAACCUAUCAAAUUCACCCCGAAGGGGCACAACGGCUGCUAACCGCUUGUUAGAGGCUUAUAACACACUUUUAAAGGUACUAUCUGAAUUUUUCUAUUCGUUUUGAUCACUUUGUUUCUCAUUUGAAUUUAUUAGUUUGAUUCAAGGAUCAUAAUAAACAUAUCUACAUCGAGGAUAAGAGUGUUACUGAGCCCUGGCUAAAAAUUAUGCUAAUUUGUGGCGUCUGUUGCAAUUUAUCCAGAAUCGUUUUUCAUGAAAAAAUUCUUAUGAGGAUAUUCUUCAAUUGUCCACUGGCUUAACUAGAUAAUUUCUACAUUAUCUUUAUGUGAAGAAUGCAUAGUGUAUUUCUUAUCCUGUUGCGCCGUGCAGGAAGAAGAAAAAUCCCUGAAUAAUCCAUUUUUGAGUUUUGAGGGCCACCUGUUAUAUCAAUUUAUUCUCUUAUAAGACAGAAAUAGAUAGCAUAUUAUCAACUGUAGCACUUGGAUGAACUAUAUUAUACCCAAACAGUUUUGUUUCAUGAGUGACCAGGUUACGGUCUCAAUUUUGCAAGGAAACUGAAGAAUAGUCAGAAAAUUUACCUUCAGGUGCCCUCCUCAUAGUCGGAGCAAGGAACAAAUGAGUUUUUGGAUGAAGCAUGAGUAUUAUAUCCAACAUAAUCCAUCACAACUCCAUAUAUAAUUGUGUUGAGGAAGUCUAACUUUCCGUUUCAUUUGACAUGUAUGUAUAUACACGUGUUUAGAUAUAAGGUACAUACUUUAUAGGACAACAUUGUAUGUAAUUUUUUAAUCAUCUGAAAGAAAUCAUUGGCAGUUUGUGCACUUCUUUCAUCCCCGGUUAGCCAUCUUUACUACUUGAGUGAAAAAUUCUUGAGCCAUCCCCAUAAGUGAUCAUAUAUGUGAGUCCAUUGUAAUAUUACAAUCAUAUAUCAACAACCAAGAAAUUAACUGU